CACCGCGGUUAUACAAGAGGCCCAAGUUGAUAGACGCCGGCGUAAAGAGUGGUCAGGGAUACAAUCAACUAAGGCCGAACAUCCCCCUGGCUGUUAUACGCAUUCGGAGGAAUGAAGCCCUACCACGAAAGUGGCUUUAUCUUUGCCUGAACCCACGACAGCUAAGAAA
rnacentral:rRNA from 1 species